CGAACCACGGUGAAAUGACGGAUCGUCGGCCCCGCGCCGGCGACUCGCCGAAUGAGUUUCUGACCUAUCAACUCGAGACGGCGGGGUAGAGGCCCGCCGCGGUAACGACGGGUAACGGGGAAUCAGGGUUCGAUUCCGGAGAGGGAGCCCGAGAAAACGGCUACCACUUCCAAGGAAGGCAGCAGGCGCGCAACUUACCCUAAUCUCGAUUCGAGGAGGUAGUGACAAGAAAUACCGAUGCGGGACCCUACGGGUGCCGCGUUCGGAAUGAGUACGAUUCGAACCACCUAACGAGGAACGAUCGGAGGGCAAGUCUGGUGCCAGCAGCCGCGGUAAUUCCAGCUCCAAUAGCGUACGUUAAAGUUGCUGCAGUUAAAAAGCUCGUAGUUGAACGUUCGGGUUCCGCGGA
rnacentral:rRNA from 1 species